rnacentral:rRNA from 1 species
UUGAACGCUGGCGGCAUGCCUUACACAUGCAAGUCGAACGGCAGCACGGGUGCUUGCACCUGGUGGCGAGUGGCGAACGGGUGAGUAAUACAUCGGAACAUGUCCUGUAGUGGGGGAUAGCCCGGCGAAAGCCGGAUUAAUACCGCAUACGAUCUACGGAUGAAAGCGGGGGACCUUCGGGCCUCGCGCUAUAGGGUUGGCCGAUGGCUGAUUAGCUAGUUGGUGGGGUAAAGGCCUACCAAGGCGACGAUCAGUAGCUGGUCUGAGAGGACGACCAGCCACACUGGGACUGAGACACGGCCCAGACUCCUACGGGAGGCAGCAGUGGGGAAUUUUGGACAAUGGGCGAAAGCCUGAUCCAGCAAUGCCGCGUGUGUGAAGAAGGCCUUCGGGUUGUAAAGCACUUUUGUCCGGAAAGAAAUCCUUGGCUCUAAUACAGUCGGGGGAUGACGGUACCGGAAGAAUAAGCACCGGCUAACUACGUGCCAGCAGCCGCGGUAAUACGUAGGGUGCGAGCGUUAAUCGGAAUUACUGGGCGUAAAGCGUGCGCAGGCGGUUUGCUAAGACCGAUGUGAAAUCCCCGGGCUCAACCUGGGAACUGCAUUGGUGACUGGCAGGCUAGAGUAUGGCAGAGGGGGGUAGAAUUCCACGUGUAGCAGUGAAAUGCGUAGAGAUGUGGAGGAAUACCGAUGGCGAAGGCAGCCCCCUGGGCCAAUACUGACGCUCAUGCACGAAAGCGUGGGGAGCAAACAGGAUUAGAUACCCUGGUAGUCCACGCCCUAAACGAUGUCAACUAGUUGUUGGGGAUUCAUUUCCUUAGUAACGUAGCUAACGCGUGAAGUUGACCGCCUGGGGAGUACGGUCGCAAGAUUAAAACUCAAAGGAAUUGACGGGGACCCGCACAAGCGGUGGAUGAUGUGGAUUAAUUCGAUGCAACGCGAAAAACCUUACCUACCCUUGACAUGGUCGGAAUCCCGCUGAGAGGUGGGAGUGCUCGAAAGAGAACCGGCGCACAGGUGCUGCAUGGCUGUCGUCAGCUCGUGUCGUGAAAUGUUGGGUUAAGUCCCGCAACGAGCGCAACCCUUGUCCUUAGUUGCUACGCAAGAGCACUCUAAGGAGACUGCCGGUGACAAACCGGAGGAAGGUGGGGAUGACGUCAAGUCCUCAUGGCCCUUAUGGGUAGGGCUUCACACGUCAUACAAUGGUCGGAACAGAGGGUUGCCAACCCGCGAGGGGGAGCUAAUCCCAGAAAACCGAUCGUAGUCCGGAUUGCACUCUGCAACUCGAGUGCAUGAAGCUGGAAUCGCUAGUAAUCGCGGAUCAGCAUGCCGCGGUGAAUACGUUCCCGGGUCUUGUACACACCGCC